rnacentral:rRNA from 1 species
UGUGUGUACUUCUGUGGUGACCGUACCGUAAACCGACACAGGUGGGCGGGAAGAAUAUUCCAAGGCGCUUGAGAGAACUCUCCUUAAGGAACUAGGCAAAAUGACACCGUAACUUCGGGAGAAGGUGUGCCUCCUGUAGGUAAGGACCCAUGCGGUCCAAGCCGAUGGAGGUUGCAGAGAAUCGGGGGUAGCGACUGUUUAUCAAAAACACAGCACUCUGCUAAGUCGCAAGACGAUGUAUAGGGUGUGACGCCUGCCCGGUGCCGGAAGGUUAAAGGGAGCUGUCAGCCGCAAGGCGAAGCAGCGAACUGAAGCCCCGGUAAACGGCGGCCGUAACAAUAACGGUCCUAAGGUAGCGAAAUUCCUUGUCGGGUAUGUUCCGACCUGCACGAUGGCGUAACGACUUCCCCACUGUCUCAAGGAGAGACUCAGCGAAGUAGCAAUAGGGGUGAAGAUGCCCUUUACCCACAGCAAGACGGAAAGACCCCGUGAACCUUUACUAUAACUUGGCACUGAUUGACGGUUAUGUCUGCGUAGGAUAGGUGGGAGGCUUUGAAGCGGGGACUCCGGUCUCUGUGGAGCCAACCUUGAAAUACCACCCUGAUGUAACUGGCAAUCUAACCUACACCCGUGAUCCGGGUGGGAGACAGUGCCUGGCGGGUAGUUUGACUGGGGCGGUCGCCUCCCAAAGAGUAACGGAGGCGCACGAAGGUUCCCUCAGCCCGAUUGGAAACCGGGCGACGAGUGUAAUGGCAUAAGGGAGCUUGACUGCGAGACGUACAUGUCGAGCAGGUGCGAAUGCAGGUCAUAGUGAUCCGGUGGUUCCACAUGGAAGGGCCAUCGCUAAACGGACAAAAGGUACUCCGGGGAUAACAGGCUUAUCACGUCCAAGAGUUCACAUCGACGACGUGGUUUGGCACCUCGAUGUCGGCUCAUCGCAUCCUGGGGCUGAAGUCGGUCCCAAGGGUUUGGCUGUUCGCCAAUUAAAGCGGUACGCGAGCUGGGUUCAAAACGUCGUGAGACAGUUUGGUCCCUAUCUGUUGUGGGCGCAGGAGUUUUGAGAGGAGCUGUCCUUAGUACGAGAGGACCGGGAUGGACGGACCUCUGGUGUUCCGGUUGUCGCGCCAGCGGCACUGCCGGGUAGCCACGUCCGGACGGGAUAACCGCUGAAAGCAUCUAAGCGGGAAGCCCCCCUCAAGAUGAGAACUCCCUGAGACUUCGGUCUCCUAAAGACCCCUCGUAGACCACGAGGUCGAUAGGCUGGGUGUGGAAGUGCAGCAAUGUACGGAGCUAACCAGUACUAAUCGGUCGUGCGGCUUGGUCAC